UUCUGGUUGUUAAUUUUUUUUAAAGUAAGAAAUAUAUGGACUUGAAAUAAAGUGAGGCCACCUUUUAAAAAGCAUGAACACAUAGCCUACUCCUUAAUUUUAAAAACCUCAAGUUAGAUACAUCUAUGUGAUAGGUAUUAUAGUUUUAAAAAGAUAAAUGUUUUUUAAAUAAAAAUAAAAAUGAAUUUCUUAUUGCUAGACUAUUUCUCUAAAACAGAAAGUUUUUGUGUAGAAUAAAUCUUUGGAGAGCAUCAUCUUAUUGGACAUACAGCUCUUCUUCAGCCAACUGUGACAAUAAUAAUAAAGGGUGAAGUUCAGUGCUGUGGGAAAAAACAGAGUAAACCAAAAAGUGCAGUAUGUUCUUGGCAGAGAUCUGCUUUGAAACAUGACCUAUAAUAAUUGCAAAAGAGGGAAAUACUUUCCCAUAAUUCUUUAGAAACCUACUUUAUCUGAACACUCGAAUUAAAAUUAAGAAAUAAUGGAUUCUUUUCUAAUUUUAAUCCUACUUCUUAAAAUAAAUAAAUUCUUCCAACAGGGGCCAGGGACAAAUGUGGUUAAAGACAAAACCAUGAACUGGCCAUAUCUAUGCAGAGUUUCAGUUCUGUCUCUGGGUGACCAGGACUCCAGGAUGUUGGCUGAGACUUUCUCAUCACUUGACAAGAUCCUAGAGACAAAAUAAAUAUGGUAUGCAUGAUGUACAACAGGAUGAGAGGAAGAAAACAAGGUAUCCUCGCAUUGAUCUGCUCCAGACCCCUCUUCAAAUGCACCCCCAUAAGAUUAUUUUACCAGACCAGGUAAAACGGUAGAGUUUACUCCAAAAGCAAUGCUGGGCUUAAAAAACAAACAAGCACUGCAAAAAAUCGUAACCCUUUAAUUUUCACUGUGAAAUAUGAACAUUCCGUUUUCUCCACGUUUAGCAUGUAGCAAAGACUUAUUUGCUAAUGAGUUCUGUUUGUGAAGGAGUUUUUGUAUGUGAUUUAGGGAAAAAAAUGUGAAAAGCCCACAAAUAGAAGAACCAUCAUUUCAACAUUAAUAUAAUUCCAUUUCCCACCCAUUUCUCACAAUCAUGUACUCUUGAUAUAUUUAAUCUUUUGCAAUGGUUCCCAUAGCAACUCCUCCUGGUAGUGGCUGAGCUGAAGGCUACUAGAGUCUUAAAACCCAGCUCUGUCCUGGGCAGGAUUUUUUUUCUUCUUUUCUAUCUCUCUUUACAUUUAUUUGUUUAUAUUAAACCUGGUCUCUUAGAACUCUCCUUGUGUUGGCCAUCAGAAUCCUGCCAGAAAUAAGAACAUGAGAUCUUUUUAAGGACAAAAGAUGUGUUAUUUUUGUUUUGUUUCAUUUUUUGGUUUUCAAAAC
rnacentral:lncRNA from 1 species